UCUAAACAAGGAAAAUCUUAUCUUUUGCAGUUAGGGUAACGAAAAUUUUGAAAUGGAAAUAUACUGUUGAAUGGAUGCAUAAUGUACACGGGUUUUUAUCAUUUUCAGAGAUUCUUUCUUUUAAGAUAUCUCUUUUAACUUUUUAAGCGAUGAGUCACAAGAGCAUAAAGGAGCUCCACCUGCUCUCUGAGUGCCUCCUGCCAAGCUGCUAGUAGUGCUGAGAGGGCAUCUCAAUGACUCAAAGAAGCAAAAGCAGAGAAUUCAAAGAACUUCCCAGAUUGGCAAUGAGAGGAGGAUCGAUUCUUUGCUAUAUUGUUCCCUGUAUUAUAUAAUUACUUAAGUUGGAGGAGACCUUCAUAUAGUUUGUUUAUCACUAUCUAUACCUUUUUGUAUGAAUUAUAUGAUGAACGUAUGGAACCGCAAUCUGUCUUCUCGUCACAUUCCAGUCACAAUAACGGGAUGUAAAAGGAACAGUAAAUGGCAAAAGGAGAAAUUAGGUUAA